rnacentral:rRNA from 1 species
AGGACGAACGCUGGCGGCGUGCUUAACACAUGCAAGUCGAGCGGAAAGGCCUUUCGGGGUACUCGAGCGGCGAACGGGUGAGUAACACGUGAGUAAUCUGCCCAUCGCUUCAGGAUAGCCAUCGGAAACGGUGAUUAAUACUGGAUAUGACAUUCCUUCGCAUGUUGGGGUGUGGUAAAGUUUUUUCGGCGGUGGAUGUGCUCGCGGCCUAUCAGCUUGUUGGGUGGGGUAAUGGCCCUACCGAAGGCUUUGGACGGGUAGCCCGGUCCUGGAGGAGGGGUCGACCCGGCCAACGACCGUGGGAACUAGAGACGACCGGCCCAGACCUCCGUACGGGAGGC